AGAGGCAAAAACAUUAGUACAGAAAUGUACAGUAAUUUAAUGUUUAAAUCUAAAACACCAUAUCAAUGUGUAUCAAACAUCUUAAGAUCGCUAUUCACAAUGGAAGUAUUGAUAGCUACUACUAUCACUGGAAGGGUUAGUAAUAGAACAUUAGCAAACAAAAAGGAUAAAGGGGAAGCUACCGAAAAAUCAAAGCCAAAUGCUUUGAACCCAUCUAAGCUACUGAUUUGUAAAGAUUUUUACGAACAUUGGAUUGAAAAUGAAUUCAAAAAGAAAGUAUCUGUGGAAGAAUACAACUUUUAAAAGUUAUCAAAGGCUUUUGAUGCUCAUGUUUCAAAAUGCAUCAGCUAUUUGAAGAGACCAAAAGAAAGAGACGGCACUAAUAAAAGUAAAUGUGACAUAAUUAAAGAAAAAAAAAUGAGCGAGAGUAAUUCUAAUAAUGUAGCUAAAAAUGUAAGUGAUGACAAUGAAAGUGGAUUUAUAUGCAG